AAGCUGUCCAUGAGAAGUGAGAACUUACAGACUCCAUGUUUGCUAAAUCUAGGUUGCACAGGACCAGAAGUUACGUAAAACAGCUGGACUGAAAUACAACAUUCUGUUCAGAAGACUGAAUGGCCUGAAGCACAAUUCCAGUGUAUUCUGAUGGGGAUUUCACUUCUCAGGCACGGUGAUUUAUUGAAUCAGAAGCACCCCAGUGAACCAUGGCAGGGAGAGGAGUUCCAGCAGUGCC